rfam:Ailuropoda melanoleuca scaffold502_58, whole genome shotgun sequence.
CUCCAAAGAACAUUCAACGCUGUCGGUGAGUUUGGGAUUUGAAAAAACCACCGACCGUUGACUGUACCUUGGGG